rnacentral:rRNA from 1 species
AGGGAAUCUUCCACAAUGGACGCAAGUCUGAUGGAGCAACGCCGCGUGAGUGAAGAAGGUUUUCGGACCGUAAAGCUCUGUUGUUGGUGAAGAAGGAUAGAGGUAGUAACUGGCCUUUAUUUGACGGUAAUCAACCAGAAAGUCACGGCUAACUACGUGCCAGCAGCCGCGGUAAUACGUAGGUGGCAAGCGUUGUCCGGAUUUAUUGGGCGUAAAAGCGAGCGCAGGCGGAAGAAUAAGUCUGAUGUGAA